CAUAUAAAAUCCUCUUUAAUCUACUUUGUCUGUUUUUUUGUGUGAUUUUGUGGGGGUUAUGUAAGAAGAAGAAUGGGUCUUUGGUCAUAAUUUCAUCGUCUGUUUCAAGUCCACGUGCUACAACAAGCUCUUUUUCAUCAAACCAGUUGGAAAAUAUGACUUUUCCAUACACAGACAGGUAUAGAUUUCCUUUGAGAUAAAAUGUGGCUGCUGUGAGAUGAGAGUUCCCUAUCUGUCUAUCUGUCUUCCUCUCUUCUCCAUCUAACCGUCUGAGCAUCCAUUGUUGGGGACUCGAUACGUAAUUCUCUGCUUCCAUCUCCCUUGAUCAUGUCUCAUCUGAAGGACUAAAUAAGGGUUCUUUUGUUUGGUAAUGGAGCAUUACAUUGCUUGGUCUUUCUCUCUCUUUCUGUAUUAGUUAUCUCCCUCUGAACCCCCAUAGAGUCAGCUGUUUCACGCAGACAUCCAGAAAUAAUCUCUGACAUCAAAGGACGUAUAUAGGGGUUAGUUCAAGUGUCUGGUGAGGCUGCCUGCAAAGAUCAAAAAUUCUCACUGUUAUUUCAUUCAUUCCAUUUCCUUUUUAUAUCAUUGUUUGCAUUUGUUUUGGCUGGAUAUCAGAAAGAACUAGAAUUGGCCUCAACAACCCCAAAACAACAGGCUAUAUCUCCUGUGUGUCUGUAUCUGUUUUUGAAGUGUUGCUAUGAAAUUCCUCAUGCAGGCCAAUAAGGCUGAAGUGAGCUGACACGGUUUGUGCAAUAUACUGAACGCUGCAGGGGAUCAGCGGGGGAUAAUACAAUUUACAAAACAGAGCUUGGAAUAGUUUGAAUUCCUGGACCUCCGAUAAGAAGGCAACAGGUUCAAACCAAUGAUAUAUUAAUAAGAAAAUAAUCUAAUCUUCUUUUGGAAAGUUGACCUUUGGAAAUUGCUGCAAUUAUCAGUUAGGACAAGGAGAUGAAUACCUUUGCUCUCAAAAACAUCGCCUUGAGACUUGAUAUCUUAAGGGGGUGGAGGAACACUUUGUUCAGUUGGCUGCUAGUUGUCCUGAAAAAUGCAGGAGGGCCUCUCGGUACAAAGCGUCUGAAAAGGGCUACAUGUUUGGACAGAUGCAGCGAAAAGGGUAAAGUUUGCAUACAGACGACCCGAGUCGGAGGGUGUUGACGUUAUUGCGUGAGUUGUUUGACAAACCCCCAAGCAACACACGAGCUUUCUGUCUACUUUCUUGACUACAGAGUUUUAUUGAUUGUUUGCCUGUAGGCACAUUUUUCCUCCGUUGUUACUCUCAAAAUAGUUCAUAAUUGACUGACAUGUUGGAAAUUUGGUGUAAUCAAGUUGUAUCAUUCAUUCUUGCAGCGAGUUUGUACAAGUUUUUAUCAUCAGAUAAAACCCUCAGAGCGUGACUGGAGAGACUCCAACAGUGAUACACUUCAAAACUAACUGCAAUGCUGACAUUUUCUUACAUUAUACAACUGAUUUAAAGCAAAAGAAUUCUCAUAAUUUACACAAAUCCUCGACAGCGCAGCAGCUGCAUUCAAAAGGUCAGAGAGGAUAUGAGUGUGUACUGUGUGAUACUGCUGAAAGCUCCAGAACAUCUGCUAAAUGGACCUCGAGAUGUGGGAGCCUGUUCCUUUGAUGCUGGAGAAAACAAGACCAUGACUGUAAAAAAAAGCCCCUUUGAAUCCCAGAUAGGCUGAGAAAACAAGAGAUUCUCCUCUGUCCCUUAGCUGCUGCUUCUGCACUGAGCAAGACAAACGGAUGAAUACUGUGGUUGUACUGGAAAUCUCCUGUGAAUAACCUCUGAUUGAAGAGAAUAAAAGAUGCUGGCUGUUGCAUUGUUUUUUUU